rnacentral:lncRNA from 1 species
AGGGGCUACUGCAUCAGAGAUAAGUAAAGAAGUCGAUACAUCCUUUGCCACCGCAUAACCUAACCGAGCAAAGUGAUGGAAGGGGAAUGGAGAUGAGCCGUUCAUGGGCACAAAUGGCUCAAGGUGCUUGAAAGUUCCAAUAGAAAACUUAUUAGGUAUCAGAGGAGGAUAUAUAUAUCUGCUUUGGAGGAAAGAUUCUCUCAAAUCAUGGU